GMRRUUCUGCAAAKUCUUCUUUGCAAUUUGUUGUUCGCAAAAUUGGUGCAUUUGCGUGCAGAGUGCGCCGAAUCAUUCGAGCACGCUGUUUGAGGCUUGUGAAGAGGACCAAACUCGUUUGGAAACUUUUGCAUGCGGAUGACAGUCGAGUUUGAUUGUAAGAUUGGARAUGUAUGCGGAUGAAUGUGCAGUUUUGAGCUGUUUUUGUACGAUGCAUGCGUUUUGCAUUUAUGGCUUUUGACCGUGCAGUCAUUUGCCCAUUUUCGAAUUCGGUGUUUAGUCGCUCACCUAUUCGACCCGUCUUGAAACACGGACCAAGGAGUUUAAGGUGUACGCAAGUCAUUGGCGGUUGAAAGUCAAAGGCGUAAUGAAAGUGGGACACUUAGUGUCUGUGGUGUGAUUUUUUGGAGUUUCGACUCCUCGAAAGCAACAUCGACCCAUGACUAGGACUUGUUCUGUUGUGGAGUCUGAGCGUACGCUUUGAGACCCGAAA
rnacentral:rRNA from 1 species